rnacentral:rRNA from 1 species
UGUGCCCUUGAGGCGUGGCUUCCGGAGCUAACGCGUUAAGUCGACCGCCUGGGGAGUACGGCCGCAAGGUUAAAACUCAAAUGAAUUGACGGGGGCCCGCACAAGCGGUGGAGCAUGUGGUUUAAUUCGAUGCAACGCGAAGAACCUUACCUGGUCUUGACAUCCACGGAAGUUUUCAGAGAUGAGAAUGUGCCUUCGGGAACCGUGAGACAGGUGCUGCAUGGCUGUCGUCAGCUCGUGUUGUGAAAUGUUGGGUUAAGUCCCGCAACGAGCGCAACCCUUAUCCUUUGUUGCCAGCGGUCCGGCCGGGAACUCAAAGGAGACUGCCAGUGAUAAACUGGAGGAAGGUGGGGAUGACGUCAAGUCAUCAUGGCCCUUACGACCAGGGCUACACACGUGCUACAAUGGCGCAUACAAAGAGAAGCGACCUCGCGAGAGCAAGCGGACCUCAUAAAGUGCGUCGUAGUCCGGAUUGGAGUCUGCAACUCGACUCCAUGAAGUCGGAAUCGCUAGUAAUCGUGGAUCAGAAUGCCACGGUGAAUACGUUCCCGGGCCUUGUACACACCGCCCGUCACACCAUGGGAGUGGGUUGCAAAAGAAGUAGGUAGCUUAACCUUCGGGAGGGCGCUUACCACUUUGUGAUUCAUGACUGGGGUGAAGUCUAG